GACGGAGGAUGCAAGUGUUAUCCGGAAUUACUGGGCGUAAAGCGCACGUAGGCGGAUAUUUAAGUCAGGGGUGAAAUCCCGGGGCUCAACCCCGGAACUGCCUUUGAUACUGGGUAUCUCGAGUCCGAGAGAGGUGAGUGGAAUUCCGAGUGUAGAGGUGAAAUUCGUAGAUAUUCGGAGGAACACCAGUGGCGAAGGCGGCUCACUGGCUCGGUACUGACGCUGAGGUGCGAAAGCGUGGGGAGCAAACAGG
rnacentral:rRNA from 1 species